AGCAGGAGAAGGAAACGAGGUGUGUGCCUAAUUAAGUUUUGGAGGGGAGUGGCCAAUCGGAGAGGGCGCUCAGACUAUAAGGGUUACCCUGGCACCAAUGUUCUAGGCUCCUUGUCGGCGGUCACCUUAAUUGCUGGAUCUCCUGUUCGUCCGCGGACAUCUUACCUUGGUGUGUUCAGCCCGGGUCCCGUGUGUUGUGGCGUGGGGUUGACAGCUGCUUCAUCUCGCGUGGAACUACUGCUGCUCUGCCUAGCGGCGACUGUGCCCUGCUCUGCCUAGCGGCGGCUCAGCUUUACUUUGCCUUAUUGCUGCUGUCUAGUGACAUUUGCACCGUUUCGCGCUUUGCGCUUCCGGUUUGUCCAUACUCUGUCUAGCCUAUAGCAGGGUCCCGGCGCCCAGCCUUAGAUCGGCAGGAAGUGGCUGCUGGCACGCGGCGGUGCUCCAAGCUUACGGUGCUCGGAUCGACUGAUUACUCUUUUUAUGGUUUUACUGUGUAAUAAAAGUGUGUGUUCGGAACAACGUCUCUCCGCUGUUUAUGGUGAACGGACCAGUGUGCCUUUGCCCGGGGAUAGGGCGAUGUAACUUUCUCUGGGUGUAAUACCUGGGGUGGCGUAGUCGGACUAACGUGUGGCUAUUGGUACCAUUGUUUGGUACUAUUUGGCAGU